rnacentral:rRNA from 1 species
UCCUGGCUCAGGACGAACGCUGGCGGCGCGCCUAACACAUGCAAGUCGAACGAGCAAAGAGGAGCUUGCUUCUCUGAGCGAGUGGCGAACGGGUGAGUAACGCGUGAGGAACCUGCCUCAAAGAGGGGGACAACAGUUGGAAACGACUGCUAAUACCGCAUAAGCCCACAGGUCGGCAUCGACCAGAGGGAAAAGGAGCAAUCCGCUUUGAGAUGGCCUCGCGUCCGAUUAGCUAGUUGGUGAGGUAACGGCCCACCAAGGCGACGAUCGGUAGCCGGACUGAGAGGUUGAACGGCCACAUUGGGACUGAGACACGGCCCAGACUCCUACGGGAGGCAGCAGUGGGGAAUAUUGCACAAUGGGGGAAACCCUGAUGCAGCGACGCCGCGUGGAGGAAGAAGGUCUUCGGAUUGUAAACUCCUGUUGUUGAGGAAGAUAAUGACGGUACUCAACAAGGAAGUGACGGCUAACUACGUG